UUCCGGUUGAUCCUGCCGGACCCCACUGCUAUCGAGAUGGGACUAAGGUAUGCUAGUCGAACGACCAGAACUAUGUCUGGAAGUGGCACACUGCUCAGUAACACGUAGCUAACCUACCCUUAGGACGUGGAUACCCCCGAGAAAUUGGGGUUAAUCCGCGAUAGAUGUAAUGUCCUGGAAUGGUAUUACGUCUAAAGGUAUUUCAUACAUGUUUGAAAUAUGCCUAAGGAUGGGGCUGCGGCCGAUCAGGCUGUUGGUGAGGUAAUGGCUCACCAAACCUUUGACCGGUACGGGCCAUGAGAGUGGUAGCCCGGAGAUGGACGCUGAGACAAGGGUCCAGGCCCUAAGGGGCGCAGCAACCGCGAAACCUCCACAAUGCACUCACGUGCGAUGGGGCUAUCUCGAGUGCCACCUGAUGAAGGUGGCUUUUCCUAGGUCUUCAAAGCCUUGGGAAUAAGAGGGGGGCAAGACUGGUGUCAGCCGCCGCGGUAACACCAGCCCCUCGAGUGGUGGGGAUGAUUAUUUGGCCUAAAGCGUCCGUAGCCGGCCGAGCAAGUCUUCCGUUAAAUCCAGCGUCUCAAGCGUUGGACCGCGGGAGAUACUACACGGCUAGAGAGUGGGAGAGGUCAGCGGUAUUCUGGGGGUAGGGGCGAAAUCCUUUGAUCCCCGGAGGACCACCAGUGGCGAAGGCUGCUGACUAGAACACGUCUGGCGGUCAGGGACGAAAGCUGGGGUAGCGAACCGGAUUAGAUACCCGGGUAGUCCCAGCCGUAAACGAUGCAUGCUAGGUGUUGGGUUGGCCAC
rnacentral:rRNA from 1 species